CGGGGAGACCGCGUUUAGAGGAUCAGUGGCGGCGGCACCCGCGGCCCCGCGCGGCGCGGACGGCGGGCAGCACCGUGCCUGGGCCCCCUCCUGCUCCGAACAGCCCAAGGAGCAGAAAAGAGUGACAAGGCCGUGAAAGGAGGCGCCUGGGGCGUAGCCGGCUCUAGGAGGUUACCCCAUGCGGAGUACACACCCUGCUACACCCAUCCCGGAGGAGGGAGGAAAUAGCCAGCCCGGAGCACCCCUGGACUCUGCCGGUCCCAGAGGCCACGCAAACUCCGCCCAGACUCGGAGACAGGCCCUGGCACCAGGCUCUGGAGACCCCACUUCCUGACUCCAGCGGUGCGAAGAUGAUACAAUACUUUCUGGUGCUGACAUUCAGCUGUCUCCCAAACAGCUCUCAAUCUGGGGCAUGACUUUGAAGGGAAGGUUGCUAAGCCUCCUAAAUCCCGAUACACACCAAUGCCGUUUCCCCACUCAUCUGGAAACCUGGUGGGUCCUGCCCAAACGCCUGUAUGUCAAUUCCACCUCCUGCUUGGCGACCCACCAUGCCCACAUUUUCCACUCAAGCCUUUCAGAUCUGCUUUGGGCACCUGAAGACAGAGAGAAUCAUCUUUCAAGAGUCAGAAACUUUGCACGUGCCAUUCCCUCUGCUUAGAAUGCUUUUCCCUUUCUCCCAAUUGCCUUAUCAUCAGCCUGGGAAAAUAUUUAUUUCGGCUCCUAAAAUCUCAGAUAUCACUUCUCCAGGAGCUUUCCCAGAUGCCUCACUUGAUUCCAGAAGGAGCUAUCGCCACUUUUGCCUGGCGAGUACGUUUUCACCGUUACACUUAUACGCUAUGGCAAUUUAUUGGUGAUUUGUCUGUCUCCCCUACUCAAUAGUGAAUUAUUCAUCUAUCCCUGGAAACCUGGAACUGCUCAAUAAAUGUAUGUGGCAUGAAUAUA
rnacentral:lncRNA from 1 species